CCAACAUUCAUGUUGGACAGAGUUAAAUGGGUCUAGAUUUUAGAUUUUGAAAAAUAUUAUAGAUUUGGUUCUCCCGCAUAAAAAUAUACUACCAAUUACCAUUGUUUUAAUUCCUUGGUCGUCGGUACCGAAGCUAUUGUCCCACGGUGAGAUUCCACUCAAUCCUUCGACGAUCUCCCAACCACCCUACCCGACUUCAUCUUGUCUCCCGCAAUCGAUUUCCCAGGGCUUCCAAUAAGUGUUUUUCCCAUCGUAACCCUAAAUUGGUUUAUUCCCAAAUUGAGUCAGCGACAGUCAUGAUUGAUUCAAUUUUUUGUAGACCCUUGAGGUGUUCGAUGAAACGGUUAAACGUUUCACGAGUUCCUUUGGUAAUGUUUCUGACAUCGGAGGCAUUAGGUUCACAUGGCUCACAAGAAGAAAAAUCCCCCAAAUAGUUCAGACACAGUCCCAGGAAGAAACAGGAGCAAUCCACUACUGAGGUGCUAUCUAAUGUUGUUUUAGAAUUCGUAAGUAUAACCAAUCCAUGGAUCUCUGCUUCGUAUUGAUUUUCAUUAAGUAGGAUGAAUUAUAUGUACUGCGUGAUAUGGAGAUUGUGUUCCACCUCAUGAAAGGAUUAGAUAAAGAGAAGAAGAAAAUGGUGGAAGAACUUGGAUUUGGCUGCCUCCUCAAAUAUAAAUAGAGAAGAUCACGAUUGGUAUGGCCUCCUGGAUGAUCGACGAGUUUGGUAUCCAUAAGCGUGCAUUUAUUAUAGAUGGUGUGAAGGUGAAGUUUAAUCCUAAAAUGGUGGAGAGCCUCAUUGGUUUUAGGGACAGAGAAGUGGACAAUGAAGACCUAGAGGAAGAUGUUACAGUAGAUGAGCGGUUGAAUUCCUCUGUGAGAUGACUUACAUUCGGAUAGAAAGAAGGCUGAUGCCGUUGAAGCAUGAUGAUGCAUGAUUCAGUGAGCUGUUUGUCCUGUUUGUGAUUACAGUUUUGCUUGCCCCUAAUGACAACAGUAAACCAGAGAGGUCAUGGCUUAGAGUCAUUCAGGACAUGAGUCUCAUCCCACGGAUGAACUACGUCAAGUUUGCAUUUGACAGGAUCAUAUGUAGUGCCAUGAGGUGAAGGAAGGAAAGUCUAAAGCCUUUAAGGGACUUGCAGCUGUCUUGUCGUUACUUUUUUGCGAGUAGUCAACUUGGACUGAAGGUGUUGAGUUCAGAAGCAAGGACCUGCCCCUAAUUUCCCAUUGGGAUGGUCAAAGGAUGUUGAAGCUGCAUAGGUUAAUAAUGGAUAAGCUUGGUGGCUACCACAUAGAUAAUGUAAUGGCAAAGCUAAAGAGUGAGAUGUUGAAAGCGCCAGUCAUUGAAAUCGUACCGGCACAUAAUUGGCUGUUGAAGAUGGAGGAACAUAUAAAUCAACAGGAAGCUGCUAUUGAAGCCCUGCGUGCAGAAAGCAAGAUAAUAAUUUAUGCUCUGGAAGGCAUUAAAAAGGAGCUCCAUACAUUGUCCCUCGCCAUGUAUUCUCGUCAGAAUACACGUAAAAAAUGGGACCUGAAGCAAAUAAGGUGCUAGAUAUGGAAGUUUCUGAGCAAUGGCCAAAAGAUAAAGAAGACACGGUGUGGUCGACUAUGCAACAUAUAGUGGAGCAACUGACAGAGGGCGAGUCGAAAGAAGGGACAACGACAGUGCGUGCCUAUACAGAAGAGCAGGCAACAGAGCUAGAACCGAUAGAUGAGCAAAAUGAAGAUGAACAGGCUUCAAAUGAAAAAUUGAAAGAGGAACAUCCAUUAUCAGAGCAUAAGACAGAGCAUGACUCGAAAGAAGAGCAGCUGAUGGAGGGGGAGUUGAAAGAAGACAUGGCGACAGAGCGUGAGUCUGCAAAAGAGCAGGCGACAGAGCUCAUGAUGGCAGAAGAUAAGACUGAAGAUGAACAUCCUAGAGAUGAAAUAGAGGAAGAUGAGCAUCCGACAGAGCACUAAUGGAAUGAUGAACAGCUUGAUGACAUGGAAUCUCCCAUUGACUUGACUAGGGAACCAAGCCUGGAGAAUGUGAAAACAGCAGUACUCCCCGAGACACCGCUCUCUAAAAUCACGCACAUCCUUGAGAAGUUUGAUGAGUCGGAUAAGAGAUUGUAGUGUCUUUUACUCAAACUCCGGAGAAUCAGACACAUGAACUGUACCGAAACUGGGGCAUUUCUAUGGAUAGAAGGGAUGCUAGCAUGCUUUAUUGUCUAAAGGAAAUAUCAGAUGUCGUUAUCGAUAGCGUUAUUGCUGACCUGAUAGAGAAGCACUUGGAGGAUGAUGCCCAUAUUUUCUUUACAACAAGGGUGCAACGCUCUGGGCAUGCUAUCUACUUUCCUAUAUUCCACUGGGAUGCAAAUCAUUGGACAUCGGGUGUCAUUGAUUUUGAAAGCCGGAAAUGUCUGCAUCUGGACUCAAUGCACAGUGCCAGACACAAGGAUCGUCAAGAUAUGGUUAAAGACACAAGUAUGCCCCAAGCACAAUUUGGAAGGGUUCACUAAACUACAGUGCUCUUAAAAUGGGCGUGGAGGUCUGGGACCUCGGUGCUAAGUGCCGCAUAGGGAAUGGAAAUAGAGUUAAAUUCUGGGAGGAUACUUGGAUAGGGGAUAAACCUAUGAGAAGCCUCAUUGAGGGACCUCUACCUCGAGGGGAAGUUGAUCAUAUGGUCUCCUUGAUUAUACUACUUUCCAGGACCUGGAAUCUUGAAGCUAUUCCAUUUACCUUGCUAGAGAAUAUUAUUAGGGUUAUACAUGGUACGCUACUAGGGUGUUACUCAUGAUGGACAUUACAGUACCAGAUCAGCUUGUCGAUUACUUUUGAAGCAAUAUGCCCCCCUCCCAAGUGUGAGAAGUGACUGGAUAUGGAAGACUGAGAUGCUGCCUCGCAAUCGAUUCUUCACUUGGUUGUGUUUAAGGGAUAGACUCGCUUCUACCUCCCUUCUUGCUCAAAGAGGAAUCCAAAUCAAUCCUUCAUGUCCAUUCUGCUUGUCCCAAAACGAAUCUGUCCUUCGUAUUCUCAGGGAUGGUAUUGCUCCUUCUUUUUGGGAAUCACUUCUUCCCCCAGAUGAGUAAAAUGAAUUCUCCUUGGCACCCUUGGCUGUUUGGAUUCAAAGCAACUGCUCCUCCACCAGUCCUAUUGGAAAAACCGGAAUAGUCUGGUCUUUUCCAAGAGAAAUCUUCCCGUCAAUCUCCCAGAGCUUGUUCUGCAGCUUGCCGCUGAGGUCCAAGCAUCCUUACAAACAUCUCUGACUAGAGCUUCCACGCAGAUAGUCAUCGGUUGGUGUCCACCUCCUCAAGGUUUCUAUAAACUUAACACAGAUGGUAAAGGAAAUCCGGGAGCUGCAGGCGCGGGGGGCGUAAUUAGGGAUGCCAAUGGUUGUUGGGCUCAAGGUUUCUCAGUGAACUUAGGAGUGGCGACAAGUGUGGCAGCUGAAUUGAGUGCACUGUGACAGGGCCUUUUGAUUGCCUUAGAGUUGGGAAUAGCUAGACUGUUUCGAGUUCGAUGCCAUUCUGCCGUUACAAUGGAUAUGGGGAGAGGAAGCUUCCAAUAGAUUACUAAAAUCAUUAAUUGAGGACUGCAGGACGUUGUGUACCAGGUUCGAGGAGGUUAGACCUGCACAUAUCUACCGUGAAGCUAACGCAUGUGCAGAGCUUCUAGCCAAGAAGGGUGUUGAACUGCUCUAGCAUUUAGAUAUCUAUCAUUAUGUUCCUCCUAGUUUAAGUAUGAUCCUUCUUAAGGAUGUUUUGGGGGUGUUGGAGCCCUGUACAGUAUCUCACACUGAUGUUCUUAAUGGUUGAAUGAAGUUUCAUCUUUUGUUACGAAAAAA